GCAUCUAGCCACGGCGCGUGCGAAUGAGGCGCCGAGGGACCGCUGGAGGGCGGUGGCUCGGCCCGGGCUUGGUGGCCCGCUCCUAUGAGCUGCGAGUAAGGGGCCCUGUGGGCACUCCCCAUCAGCGCCCCAGCAAGAGGGCAGAGAUCAAAAUGGCAGAAGAGAAGGAAAUGGAGCUCACCUCCUCCCACAAAUACAUCAAAGAUACAACUACAUUUGGAACAAGUCACAGAAUACCUACUGGACACUGGCUAAAGAUCUCAUACAACCAAAGCUACAAGAAAUAUCACUACAUUACCAGCUUAGGACUGAGCACAGAUUGAUCACUCACCAUGCCAGAUGGAUAGAGGACUGGACACUGGAGGAAGGACCAAGUGGUAACUUCAGAGAUAUUGAGGCCAAGAAUUUUUUGGCUGUGAGACCACUGUUACCAGGGAAAGACU